UACGUAGGGUGCUAGCGUUGUUCGGAAUCAUUGGGCGUAAAGCGUGCGCAGGCGGUAAUGUAAGACAGAUGUGAAAUCCCCGGGCUUAACCUGGGAACUGCAUUCGAGACUGCAUUGCUAGAGUAUGGGAGAGGGAAGUGGAAUUUCCGGUGUAGCGGUGAAAUGCGCAGAUAUCAGGAGGAACACCGGUGGCGAAGGCGGGUCUCUGGGCCGGUACUGACGCUGAGGAGCGAAAGCCAGGGGAGCAAACGGG
rnacentral:rRNA from 1 species